AGUUUUUUUAUCUCCCCUGUAUACUAAAAUUGGAAUGAUGCAGAAAAGAGUAGCAUGGAUUAGCAAGGAUGACACUCAAUAUCGUGAAUCUUUCCACAUUUUU